rnacentral:rRNA from 1 species
AUUGAACGCUGGCGGAAUGCUUUACACAUGCAAGUCGAACGGUAGAGGGGCAACCCUUGAGAGUGGCGAACGGGUGAGUAAUGUAUCGGAACAUGCCCAGUCGUGGGGGAUAACGUAGCGAAAGUUACGCUAAUACCGCAUACGAUCUACGGAUGAAAGCGGGGGACUCGCAAGAGCCUCGCGCGAUUGGAGUGGCCGAUAUCAGAUUAGGUAGUUGGUAGGGUAAAAGCCUACCAAGCCGACGAUCUGUAGCUGGUCUGAGAGGACGACCAGCCACACUGGGACUGAGACACGGCCCAGACUCCUACGGGAGGCAGCAGUGGGGAAUUUUGGACAAUGGGCGCAAGCCUGAUCCAGCCAUUCCGCGUGCAGGAAGAAGGCCUUCGGGUUGUAAACUGCUUUUGUACGGAACGAAACGCGCUAGGUUAAUACCCUGGCGUAAUGACGGUACCGUAAGAAUAAGCACCGGCUAACUACGUGCCAGCCGCCGCCGUAAAAC